AUCUGAUUUGUUUUGAUGUGCUCUCGAUGAAAUAAUUGUCAAUGGGGGCUUGUCAUUCCAUACUACUCAAAUGGGAGUCCUUUUGACACAAAUGAUCAGAAGCUUUGAGAAAACGGUAACUAAGGAUGCAAUUCAAGGUUGUGAAGCUGGGAAAACAGUAGCUUUUUGUGUUCUGGAUGCAUCUAUCAGUACUGAUCAAGAGCGGUUCUUCUUAGGCCAGCCACAAAGCAGAGGCUUUUUAAAGUCAUUAGCAAUAUGUCCUCUCAGCGAGGAUCUAUUUUUGAAGCUUAACCUGCUAUGCUGUUGAGGAUUAAUCACAGUUAUGGAAGUCUGGUGCCAAGUUGUUGAUUUCUACAGGUGCCAUUGAACGUCUUGCUUCAUGCAAGAUGUUGGGUUUGCCAUUGAAGGUAUCAAUGCUCACUAGUUUAUCUUAUUCUAUGUGUUUAUAAGAAUGUGUGUUUCCAGGGAGGCUUCAGUCGGUUUAAAGCUAAAGGUGGGUCGAAGCUAAAGGUGGCAGAGAUGGUAGAAGAGAGUACUACGAAACAAAAAAGUACUACCACAGUAACAACUUGGGUUAAUGUAGCUGUCAAAUGGUUCUAGUGAUCAAAAGAUGUAUUGAAUCCAUCCUUACAUUUACCAAAGGAUGGAUCCACUUCCUGAGCAAGAACGUUCUGAGUUACGAAUAAUUAUGCUUAAACACAGCCUCUCGUGGAUAAUUUAGAGGCCCAAACUUGUAAAACAUUUCAGAGAGAUACAAGUAAGUACAGACAGGUGUGGAUGAUAGUAACGCUCCCUCCCAAACUUAUAAAACAUUUCGUAUAUGUUGUGCUUCACAAAUUUGCUAAUUCAGGUACACAAGUUUUAUACAACCCGUGAGUCGUGAUGUAAGUUUAAAGUUUCAUUAUACCAUGUUUAGUUGCAAUGUAGUAGACCUUAGAACUCAGUCAAGGUUAUUUGCAGGUGAAGUUACAGAAGUACCUUGUGCACUUCGAAACUGCUUAUGUAGUCAAGUUGCAGAGUUGGCAAGGCUCGCACCUUCACAACCUGUGCACUCUCUAAACUGGUCCUUGGUUAAGCACUUACUUGCCAUAUAGAUGAUUGGACACUCUUCCUUGUUUGUACCAGAAAUACCUGGAAGAUCUGCUCCAGGGAGAGAAACAACUAAUAUCAGAUGCUGCACAUAUUUGACUGCCUAAGGCUUGAUUCUAAAGGAUAUGGA